rnacentral:rRNA from 1 species
AACGAACGCUGGCGGCAUGCCUAACACAUGCAAGUCGAACGAGACCUUCGGGUCUAGUGGCGCACGGGUGCGUAACGCGUGGGAACCUGCCCUUAGGUUAGGAAUAACUCCCCGAAAGGGGUGCUAAUACCGGAUAAUGUCUUCGGACCAAAGAUUUAUCGCCUUUGGAUGGGCCCGCGUUGGAUUAGCUAGUUGGUAGGGUACAAGCCUACCAAGGCGACGAUCCAUAGCUGGUCUGAGAGGAUGAUCAGCCACACUGGGACUGAGACACGGCCCAGACUCCUACGGGAGGCAGCAGUGGGGAAUAUUGGACACUGGGCGAAAGCCUGAUCCAGCAAUGCCGCGGGAGUGAUGAAGGCCUUAGGGUUGUAAAGCUCUUUUACCCGGGAUGAUAAUGACAGUACCGGGAGAAUAAGCUCCGGCUAACUCCGUG